rnacentral:lncRNA from 1 species
GAAAAGCUCGACCAAUAGGUCCAAUGAGGCACUGCAACAAGUUAGUCUAAUAACAUACAACAGAUAUUUAUACAUUUACUCGAUAUUGAACUACAUGUCAUGCCUCACAAUAUGCAAUAUGAAAUCAUGCAACUAUCAAGGUAGAUUAAUUAAUUAUACUCAUAAUUCUUAGCCAUUCACUGUUCUUUGCUAAUCUUUAUUCUUAGCGCUCUUUACUAUUUGCUAUUCUUUAGCAUUAGCCGAUCUCUAUUUUUUAUUCUUUAUUCUUUAUUCUCUACUAAGGGUACUCACACCUUGGUCAUAUUAUACACAAUUGCCACUCUCUCCUAAGGUUACUUUACCUUAGCCAACUAUACCACUCGACUCGGUCUUGAGUCAAUUAACUGCGGAUAAUCCGCCCUCAGUCAGGCUCGAGGUGAAGGACGUCUCACAUGCACCUCAGUCUUAAAUCCUCUCGACUAU